CGCAGUAGGAUAGGCGAAGCGUGCGAUUGGAUUGCACGUCUAAGCAGUAAGGCUGAGUAUUAGGCAAAUCCGGUACUCGUUAAGGCUGAGCUGUGAUGGGGAGAAGACAUUGUGUCUUCGAGUCGUUGAUUUCACACUGCCGAGAAAAGCCUCUAGAUAGAAAAUAGGUGCCCGUACCGCAAACCGACACAGGUAGUCAAGAUGAGAAUUCUAAGGUGAGCGAGCGAACUCUCGUUAAGGAACUCGGCAAAAUGACCCCGUAACUUCGGGAGAAGGGGUGCUCUUUAGGGUUAACGCCCAGAAGAGCCGCAGUGAAUAGGCCCAAGCGACUGUUUAUCAAAAACACAGGUCUCUGCUAAACCGUAAGGUGAUGUAUAGGGGCUGACGCCUGCCCGGUGCUGGAAGGUUAAGAGGAGUGGUUAGCUUCUGCGAAGCUACGAAUCGAAGCCCCAGUAAACGGCGGCCGUAACUAUAACGGUCCUAAGGUAGCGAAAUUCCUUGUCGGGUAAGUUCCGACCCGCACGAAAGGCGUAACGAUUUGGGCACUGUCUCAACGAGAGACUCGGUGAAAUCAUAGUACCUGUGAAGAUGCAGGUUACCCGCGACAGGACGGAAAGACCCCGUGGAGCUUUACUGUAGCCUGAUAUUGAAAUUCGGCACAGCUUGUACAGGAUAGGUAGGAGCCUUUGAAACGUGAGCGCUAGCUUACGUGGAGGCGCUGGUGGGAUACUACCCUAGCUGUGUUGGCUUUCUAACCCGCACCACUUAUCGUGGUGGGAGACAGUGUCAGGCGGGCAGUUUGACUGGGGCGGUCGCCUCCUAAAAGGUAACGGAGGCGCUCAAAGGUUCCCUCAGAAUGGUUGGAAAUCAUUCAUAGAGUGUAAAGGCAUAAGGGAGCUUGACUGCGAGACCUACAAGUCGAGCAGGGUCGAAAGACGGACUUAGUGAUCCGGUGGUUCCGCAUGGAAGGGCCAUCGCUCAACGGAUAAAAGCUACCCCGGGGAUAACAGGCUUAUCUCCCCCAAGAGUUCACAUCGACGGGGAGGUUUGGCACCUCGAUGUCGGCUCAUCGCAUCCUGGGGCUGUAGUCGGUCCCAAGGGUUGGGCUGUUCGCCCAUUAAAGCGGUACGCGAGCUGGGUUCAGAACGUCGUGAGACAGUUCGGUCCCUAUCCGUCGUGGGCGUAGGAAAUUUGAGAGGAGCUGUCCUUAGUACGAGAGGACCGGGAUGGACAUACCUCUGGUGUACCAGUUGUCGUGCCAACGGCAUAGCUGGGUAGCUAUGUGUGGACGGGAUAAGUGCUGAAAGCAUCUAAGCAUGAAGCCCCCCUCAAGAUGAGAUUUCCC
rnacentral:rRNA from 1 species